rnacentral:tRNA from 1 species
UUAAUUGAAGCCAAAGAUAGAGGCAUAUCACUGUUAAUGAUAUCAUUGAAUAUAUCUUUAUUCCAAUUAAA